AUACCAACAUGUCAAAACAGAUUAAAUAACAACCUUUUUAUUUUCAUUUUUAACAUAAAGUAAAUUGAAUUCAAAGUUAAAAUAAAUUAAAAUAAAUAUGGGUUACCUUCCAAAAAGCGUUUUUGUUUAACAUCAUUAGCUCAACGACCUGAAACUUUAUUUAUAUGGCUCUUCUAGAAUUAAUUCUUCCACCACGUGCACUUGGAAAUUUUAGUAAAAAGGCUUUAACCUUUGCCCAUUGACCUUGAAACAUUUUU
rnacentral:lncRNA from 1 species